CAUCAACGCUGGCGGCGUGCCUAACACAUGCAAGUCGAACGCGAAAGUCCUUUCGGGGAUGAGUAGAGUGGCGUCCGGGUGAGUAACACGUAGGUAAUCUACCUUCGGGUGGGGAAUAACGCCUCGAAAGAGGCGCUAAUACCGCAUAAUGCAGCGGCGGCUAAUGCUGAAUAGUUGUUAAAGCGGGGGACCGUCGUAAGAGGCCUCGCGCCUGAAGAGGAGCCUGCGGCAGAUUAGCUAGUUGGUGGGGUAAGUGGCUCACCAAGGCGACGAUCUGUAGCUGGUCUGAGAGGACGGCCAGCCACACUGGCACUGACACACGGGCCAGACUCCUACGGGAGGCAGCA
rnacentral:rRNA from 1 species